GACGAACGCUGGCGGCGUGCUUAACACAUGCAAGUCGAACGGAAAGGCCCUGCUUUCGUGGGGUGCCCGAGUGGCGAACGGGUGAGUAACACGUGAGUAACCUGCCCUGGACUUUGGGAUAACUUCAGGAAACUGGGGCUACUACCGGAGAGGAGCUCCUGCUGCUUGGUGGGGGUUGGACAGUUUAGGCGGGGGGGGCUGGACGCGGGGCUUAUCAGCUUGUUGGUGGGGUAGUGGCCUACCAAGGCUUCGGAGGGUAGCCGGCCUGAGAGGGGGGACGGCGACAUUGGGACUGAGGGACGGCCCAGACUCCUACAGGGGGCAGCAGUGGGGAAUAUUGCACAGUGGGCGGAAGCCUGAUGCGGCAGCGCCGCGUGCGGGAUGAAGGCCUUCGGGUUGUGAACCGCAUUCGCCUGUGACGAAGCGGGAGUGACGGUAAUGGGUGAAGAAGCACCGGCUAACUACGUG
rnacentral:rRNA from 1 species